CGAUGAUUUACUCCCAUUGUAUCAGUACGAAAAAUGAACUCACAAUGAGGGUUAUGUGUGGAUUAUCGGAAAAUAAAUGAGAUGCGUUUCCAAUACCGAGGAUGGAAGAUUACUUGGAUAUCAAAACGGAGGAAUUUAUUAGUAUUAAUCAAAUUCAUUUUAACUGUAUAAUGUUGCGUCAACGUUCCAGAGUAUUCUUGAAGCAUUAAUGAGCUACUGGACUUCAAAAGUAUAUUGCAU
rnacentral:lncRNA from 1 species